UAAACAUUCUGUCUCACGAAGCCAUAAAUUUUGGAUUUCCUAUUGUUUGUUCUGCAAUGACAAAUUAAUAAAGUAUUGGGUUUGGGAUCAUCAAUAAUUAGUAAUAAAAACACAUUAAUUUAAUGUGAUAGAAGGAAACACCAAGGAAUCACUUUAUAGUUUCAAAAUAAAUGGUUGUAGAAAGAAGAUUUUCUUUAUUUUAGACUUUCCAUUUCAACACGGUUGAAGAGGUUCAUUCAAGAUUCCAGAGUCUGAAUGCUGAUAUCAACAAACGUGGAGCGUCUUAUAUUCUGAAACUUGCUAAUAGAUUAUAUGGAGAGAAAACUUACAAUUUCCUUCCUGUAAGUACUUUGCCCUUCACAUUCUAAAACCCCACUAGACAGUGCAGAUAUUUUCCAGCACAAUCAAGUCAUGGAGGUCAGUUUUAAUAUUUGUAAACUUUCAGAAAAACAAUACAGAAGGCAAACAUGGCAAAAACAAUAUGGAAGGCAAACACGACAGAAUGCAAACUUUAAUUGACAUGGUGAUUUUGUGUUACAGUCUUUUUAGUGAAAAGAUAGCUCUUGGAGGUUUUACUGAAGCAAGAGUACAAUCAGUGUUUGUGAAAUCUUAGUCAAAGUUCAGAAAAGAGUGGUAAUUUCUAUAUAACAACAACAGUAUAAGGGUUAGGCUUACCACUACUGGAAUGCACAGUUAAAAGUGGCUAAGAUCGUAAAUUUAAUGUUAAAUGAUUUUUACUACUAUAAGAAAAACUAUAAGAGUUAGAAAUUUUGUGUUACAUGGAAUUGUAGCCUUUUAGGACAAUUUCUGUUGCUUUUUGGGAUUUUAGAAAACAAUUUCUAUAUGUAGUAGGAGUUAUAUAUAUAUUUCCUUUUCCUUUUUUUUAAUAGGAGUUCUUGGUUUCGACUCAGAAAACAUAUGGUGCUGACCUGGCCAGUGUGGAUUUUCAGCAUGCCUCUGAAGAUGCAAGGAAGACCAUAAACCAGUGGGUCAAAGGACAGACAGAAGGAAAAAUUCCGGAACUGUUGGCUUCGGGCAUGGUUGAUAACAUGACCAAACUUGUGCUAGUAAAUGCCAUCUAUUUCAAGGGAAACUGGAAGGAUAAAUUCAUGAAAGAAGCCACGACGAAUGCACCAUUCAGAUUGAAUAAGAAAGACAGAAAAACUGUG
rnacentral:lncRNA from 10 species